rnacentral:lncRNA from 1 species
GCCCCGCGAGCCCCCUGCAUAGCGCCGGGCCGUAUGCGGGGCGCGGGGUUUCCGCUCGGCGCAGCCCCGGGCCGGGCAUGGGGCGUGAGGCGCGGGCGGGCGUCCCGCAUCGCAGCGGCGCGCAGCCAGCCCGCCCCCCCCGCCCCGGCCCGCUCGCCGCCUACCUGCCGCUCCCCGGGGCUGCUGCGGGGUUCCUCCCGCUGUCAUCGCCGCAGAGGAGCGGGGAUGGUGCCGGAGAGAGGCUGGUGCCGGAGCCCUGAUGUCACGGCGCGGCCUCACCUCCGCGCUGUGCCGCGCGGGGAGAAUGGGGUUAAAUUCCUACAAGUGCCGCUUUGUUCCCUUGGAAAACAGCGCUGCCCAGACAGGAGCCGCAGCUGUCAGGCAAAGCCGGUGUGUGCGGGAGGGGAAAUACCUGGUGCUUCGUUGGAGCUUCGUUGUCGACUGGAGGGAAAGAGUGGCAAAUGACAGAAGCAAACAGACGGGCUGUGCGGGCUGGUUGGGGUGCGGGCGCUGCGUGCACAGCGCAGGGCUGGGGGUCGGCGCUGAGAGCUGAACCAGAGGGCUUCUCAUUAGGACUUCUUCUCCCUCCCUCAGUGUCUAUUAAAAUAAGAUGGGUUCCGUCGCUCCAGGGAGCGUGAGGAGGACUGGAGCGUGUCCAAGGCUUUGCCAGUCAAGUUUAAUUCCGUGUUCCCAAUGAAGGCAGCUUGACAGCCCUUGCAAUCCAGCAGCAAGCUGCAGCACAGGGCCCAGAGCUGCCCGGGUUGGCUGCAAGCUUUCAUCCUGGUGAAAGCAGCACACACAGGUGGCACAGUAGGUUCUUGUAGACUUGCCUCCCGGUUGGUUCCUUUAGGCUGGGGCCAGAAACCACCUGCUGGUCAGUCAUGCUUUUAGUCCCACAUUUGACCUCUCUCUCACCCCGUAUACGUGCUGCAGCCCACCUCUGUGAGGCUCAACAGGUUCCUCUCACAGCUGGGUGAUGGAUGGUGGAACUGGGAAGCGAGGAACGCCCAGCAGUAGUUCACAAAGCUGUCACUCAGAAGCAGAAGAAACGAGCCCCUCUCCACACAUUAAUCAUGUGCUUACUUGUGUAACAGGCUCCUCCAAUACGUGGGACCCACUGUGUGCAACCACGCUUGGGAUUCACUGCAUUCCCCUGCAACACAUCUGACAGCUGAGCAGUGUGGGAGAAGAGGCAGGAGAGCCCUUCCCAAGCACCUGUAGACAGCCAUGCUUUAGUUAAGUGCCAUUCAGUUACUUGAAACAGAGCAAUCAGCACCAAAACACGCAGUACACACCAGGAUGUGCAUAGGUAUUGUUGAGCAAGGAGAAAGCACCCCUGCUUGUGUGUACACUCACUGCUUAGCUGGGGGCAUCAGGCUUCAGCCCUUAGAGUCACACCCUCAGAGCUUGGUGAAAAAUAACAAAGUAUGUAUCAGCAAAGUAACUAAUAGGUGUACUGAGCGAUUUCCAGGUGUGAAAGGGGCUUCUAGGCCCACAGAUGCUUGUCUGUGCCAGGCACACUUAUCUUCUCAGAGGCAUCUGGGGACAGGAGCAAGCAAGGCAGUAGCUCUGGACAGCGGGUUGGAAGCCCAACUCCUGAUGCACUUACCUGUAGAAGUCCAGAAGUUCUUUCAGCCUAGUUUUCCCCAUCUAUCUUGUCACCUUGCACCUUGGUCACGGGUGGUGAUAAUUCCAGCCAUUAAGUCUCUGGCAAACCUUACAUUAAAAGGGCUGAGAAUGUCUUAAACUCCAGUGAAAUAACUCCAUUGGCCUCUGGGGUGGGGCAUGGAGAACACGUGCAGAUUACAAGAGAAAAUAGUGCUGCCCAUCAGCAUCUUCCUCCAGGGCUCUUGUGCUCUGCUUUCUCAGAAGCAUUCCCACAGCUGCUGAGUCAAGAACCCUUCUGUGCAACAGAAAUGCAUUGUCUGUUGGGAGCCUAAUGUGAUGCCAAGCAGACAGCAGUAUCUGAAGCCCAUAGUCCCACAGUCAACAGAAAUGCAGGCACAGGACCACUCCAGUUACGAGCUCUGGGAAAACAACCAGUGACACUUGCACCUCUCUAAUGUGCUACUUGCUGCCUGUGGCUGCUUCCUGUGCUGCCUAUCCAAAGCGUCCCAGAGACCACACAAGGCUUCUUCCUGCCAUGAAGUGCUGGGGCAGUUGAGACUGCUGCAGACAGAAAAGCUAACUCUCUGCUACAAGUACAGUCUCUCCAGAGCUGUGAGUGAUGUGGGGCAACCAGGCUGGAUGGCUGAGGGUCACCAAGGAGCUUAACACAAGGCCCAGGGGAUGAAAGGACCACCUGAGAACUGUCCCAGGUAAUGCAACAGCAAGAAGCAAUGCUGACUGGUGACCAUUUUCUAAGACAGUAAAGACAAUUUAAAAAAAAACACAACCAGUUAAGCCUCAUUCAAACAAAACUGAAAGCUUCAAAAACCUCCGUUUACAAAUUAGAAGGGGACUGUUUUGCAGUGCAGUUAAGCUUACCAAGUUGCUAUAUAGAUAUGGCUGUACAGAAUUUGUUUAAAAAAUAAGCGAGGUUGUGAACUUCUAGACAGCUCACACUUGUAGCCACGUGCAAGUUAAGAUGACGUGUACAGUACCAUCCUGCUUACCUUCAACGUCUUUCAGCACAAGUUUCACCUGAAACCAAACUGCACAGAAUAAUGCUGUAAGACCAUAUAACAUAUACAAUGCCAAGGUAUCCUUUGAUUCCUUAAAAUACUGUGAUUUCUUGCAUGUUCUCACUGCCUAAUGUUAAAUACAUUCAGAAACAAGUGAAAGCGUUUGUAUAGUCAGCUUGAAAUUGCCAGUCUCUACACUUGUGCAGCACUGUAGCUUGUUGCAAAGAAGUCAUCCAAACAUCUAGCACAGAAAUAAUGAUUAAGCAGCACUACUGACCAAAGCCAGCUUUAAUACAGCCUCAUGUUUUGAAGGAGGGGCAGAGGAAAGUGAGUCAUUUCACCAGCAUGUGCUGCUGCGCUGAGGGGACCGCGUGUGAGAGAAGCCAUUCUCCACUACUGGUGACACUGCCAGGUCAGAGACAGGCUGACAUCCCAACCACCACAAAAAGACCACAACAACUCUACAUCAGCUCCUGGCUUUAUUUGUGUUACAGGCUCAGGGCCGCAGCAGCAAACGCUGUGUUACUGAGGUCGAGUCUUCAAACAUUGUAUCCAAUCAGGCCUCGUUUGCCUAUGAUCUCACCAAUGUAAAACCACAUCAGCACCUCUGUGGCCACCAAACCGUUCCUCAGCGCUUCCCUGACCGUGAGCUGCGCCAGGCGGCCGGACUGAAAGCUCCUGACCAUGGCCUUCAUGCUGUCGAUGGCCUUGGGGAUCUCACCGGGUGUUGGAGGUGCAAGCUCGACCUUAGCAUAGUACCAGAACGUGGCCAGGCGAGGCUUCGAGUACGCCACAGCAGCGCUCAGCAGCUGAGGCCCGCGGGUGGUGAGGCGCUGCACCAGCUUCUGCGCGGCCUGCGCCAUGCCUGAAAGUCACCCCGCUGCCGCCGCAGGACCCCGCUGCCGCCGCGCCUGCCCGCAGCGCCUGCUUCUCGCGCUCCCGUCAGGCGUCUGCCGCGGGCAGCCCGCGCGGCGGCUCAAGGACCCCGCACC